GACGAACGCUGGUGGCGUGCUUAACACAUGCAAGUCGAACGGAAAGGCCCUGCUUGCAGGGUGCUCGAGUGGCGAACGGGUGAGUAACACGUGGGUGAUCUGCCCCUUAUUUUGGGAUAAGCCUGGGAAACUGGGUCUAAUACUGGAUAGGACCAUGCUGUAGGUGGUGUGGUGGAAAGAUUAGUUUCGGUAAGGGAUGAGCUCGCGGCCUAUCAGCUUGUUGGUGGGGUAAUGGCCUACCAAGGCGUCGACGGGUAGCCGGCCUGAGAGGGUGGACGGCCACAUUGGGACUGAGAUACGGCCCAGACUCCUACGGGAGGCAGCAGUGGGGAAUAUUGCACAAUGGGCGCAAGCCUGAUGCAGCGACGCCGCGUGGGGGAUGACGGCCUUCGGGUUGUAAACUCCUUUCAGCCAUGACGAAGCCCUUGUGGUGACGGUAGUGGUAGAAGAAGCACCGGCUAACUACGUG
rnacentral:rRNA from 1 species